rnacentral:rRNA from 1 species
AAAUUGAAGAGUUUGAUCAUGGCUCAGAUUGAACGCUGGCGGCAGGCCUAACACAUGCAAGUCGAACGGUAACAGGAAUCAGCUUGCUGAUUUGCUGACGAGUGGCGGACGGGUGAGUAAUGUCUGGGAAACUGCCUGAUGGAGGGGGAUAACUACUGGAAACGGUAGCUAAUACCGCAUAACGUCGCAAGACCAAAGAGGGGGACCUUCGGGCCU